AAUGGUUGAGAUUAAUUUUAACUAUUAAUUUUAUGGGAAAAUCUUAAAAUAAUUAUGAUCCGAAAGAAAAAUAUUUAACAUGAGUUUGGAAAGAAAUUCGAGUUUUGGAGAAGAACAAUACCAAUGAGGAAAAAUAUAUAUGCAUCUUUAAAGAAAUUGGUUUUUUUAACUAUGGCACUUACCUUCGAAGAGAAAAAAAUUCCUCCAAUGUGAAGUAUCUGUCAUUAUUAUCACUAUUUCAAGAUGUGUCAUAAACUCACCCCUUAUACAAGAAAAUGUAACUAGUAAAAAGAAUUUUGGGGACAAUAACUGACGUUAACACGAAUUCGCCUUUCAAAUACAGCGAUACGUAUUUGAUUUCUAGAAGAUAUUCCUAUUUUAUAAUUCUAGAAAACGUAUCAAAUAGAGAUAAAAUAUAUUUUCAUUAUAUAUUUUG